rnacentral:rRNA from 1 species
CUUCAUGAAGCUGGAAUUGCUAGUAAUGGCAGGUCAGCAUACUGCCGUGAAUACGUUCCCGGGCCUUGUACACACCGCCCGUCACACCAUGAGAGUUGGGAAUACCCGAAGCCUGUGAGCUAACUUAUAGAGGCAGCAGUCGAAGGUAGAAUCAAUGAUUGGGGUGAAGUCGUAACAAGGUAUC